CAACACCUAAACCUUGUCAGGACCGGAAGGUAGCAGCAACACGGGAUGCUUGUAGUAGGCGUUGACUCCGGGUC
rnacentral:SRP_RNA from 20 species